GGUGAUGGAGAACCUUUCAUUUGGAAGAAAUAUUACUAGGCAGUAUGAUCUAAAAGGAGCUCUGCAUGCUCGAUUUAAUUCAGCUGGCAGUUCUGACGGAGAUGUUCUUUUGGACCAAAAUUUUGUGAAUGACAUGAAAAUCUCUCCUUUGUAUGUUGGCACGAGAUCAAAGAGGAACUUGCAGCGAGCUGUAUGGAAUGACUGUGGUUUUCUCAAUUCGGUCAAUGUGAUGGACUACUCCUUACUUGUUGGAGUAGAUACUCAGCGCCGUGAACUUGUUUGUGGCAUAAUUGACUAUCUCAGGCAGUAUACUUGGGAUAAGCAAAUUGAGAAUUGGGUCAAAUCCUCGCUUGUGGUUCCCAAGAAUCAGCUUCCUACUGUUCUCUCUCCGAGGGAGUAUAAAAAGAGAUUUA
rnacentral:misc_RNA from 1 species